rnacentral:tRNA from 1 species
GGGCCAUAGCAUAACUGGGAAUGCGCUUUACUCAUGAUGAAGACGAUCAAUGUUCAAACCAUUGUGGCCUUAG